ACAGGUGGUGCAUGGUUGUCGUCAGCUCGUGUCGUGAGAUGUUGGGUUAAGUCCCGCAACGAGCGCAACCCCUAUUGUUAGUUGCUACGAAAGAGCACUCUAGCGAGACUGCCGUUGACAAAACGGAGGAAGGUGGGGACGACGUCAAAUCAUCAUGCCCCUUAUGUCCUGGGCUACACACGUAAUACAAUGGUGGUAAACAGAGGGAUGCAAUACCGCGAGGUGGAGCAAAUCCCUAAAAGCCAUCUCAGUUCGGAUUACAGGCUGCAACUCGCCUGUAUGAAGCUGGAAUCGCUAGUAAUCGUGGAUCAGCAUGCC
rnacentral:rRNA from 1 species